rnacentral:RNase_P_RNA from 1 species
UGAGCCGGCCGGGUGGCCGCGGCACGACGGUUUCCCCGAUCGUGUCGAGGAAGGUCGGGGCUCCACAGGGCAGGGUGCUGGCGAGACGCCAGUCGGGGUGACCCGCAGGAAAGUGCCACAGAGAACAGACCGCCGAUGGCCGGAAGGCACAGGUAAGGGUGAAACGGUGCGGUAAGAGCGCACCAGCGCCCGGGGUGACCCGGGCGGCUCGGCAAACCCCACCCGGAGCAAGGCCAAGCGUGGGAACGGGCUGCCCGCCCGCCGCCUCUCCGGAGGCGGCAUCCCCAGGUAGGCCGCGUAGAUGGAUGGCCACCACGCCCCACGGGCGCACAGAACCCCGCCUACAGGCCGGCUCACCGC